GUACACUCCUACGGGAGGCAGCAGUGGGGAAUAUUGGACAAUGGGCGCAAGCCUGAUCCAGCCAUGCCGCGUGAGUGAUGAAGGCCCUAGGGUUGUAAAGCUCUUUCACCGGUGAAGAUAAUGACGGUAACCGGAGAAGAAGCCCCGGCUAACUUCGUGCCAGCAGCCGCGGUAAUACGAAGGGGGCUAGCGUUGUUCGGAUUUACUGGGCGUAAAGCGCACGUAGGCGGACUAUUAAGUCAGGGGUGAAAUCCCGGGGCUCAACCCCGGAACUGCCUUUGAUACUGGUAGUCUUGAGUUCGAGAGAGGUGAGUGGAAUUCCGAGUGUAGAGGUGAAAUUCGUAGAUAUUCGGAGGAACACCAGUGGCGAAGGCGGCUCACUGGCUCGAUACUGACGCUGAGGUGCGAAAGCGUGGGGAGCAAACAGGAUUAGAAACCCUUGUAGUCCCAU
rnacentral:rRNA from 1 species